rnacentral:rRNA from 1 species
GAUGAACGCUGGCGGCGUGCCUAAUACAUGCAAGUCGAGCGAACGGACGAGAAUCUUGCUUCUCUGAUGUUAGCGGCGGACGGGUGAGUAACACGUGGAUAACCUACCUAUAAGACUGGGAUAACUUCGGGAAACCGGAGCUAAUACCGGAUAAUAUUUUGAACCGCAUGGUUCAAAAGUGAAAGACGGUCUUGCUGUCACUUAUAGAUGGAUCCGCGCUGCAUUAGCUAGUUGGUGAGGUAACGGCUUACCAAGGCAACGAUGCAUAGCCGACCUGACAGGGUGAUCAGCCACACUGGAACUGAGACACGGUCCAGACUCCUACGGGAGGCAGCAGUAGGGAAUCUUCCGCAAUGGGCGAAAGCCUGACGGAGCAACGCCGCGUGAGUGAUGAAGGUCUUCGGAUCGUAAAACUCUGUUAUUAGGGAAGAACAUAUGUGUAAGUAACUGUGCACAUCUUGACGGUACCUAAUCAGAAAGCCACGGCUAACUACGUG